rnacentral:rRNA from 1 species
UACGUAGGGUGCGAGCGUUGCCCGGAUUUAUUGGGCGUAAAGGGCGCGUAGGCGGCCACGCACGUCCGUUGUGAAAUCGCCCGGCUCAACUGGGCGGGGUCAGCGGAUACGGUGUGGCUAGAGCAAGCUAGGGGGCAAUGGAAUUCCCGGUGUAGUGGUGGAAUGCGUAGAUAUCGGGAGGAACACCAGUGGCGAAGGCGGGUCUCUGGACAGUUCCUGAGCGCUGAGGGCACGAAGGUCAAGGG